rfam:Schistosoma rodhaini strain Burundi genome assembly, scaffold: SROB_scaffold0007147
AUCCAGCUGAUGAGUCCCAAAUGGGACGAAACGCGCGUCCUGGAU